GACGAACGCUGGCGGCGUGCUUAACACAUGCAAGUCGAACGAUGAAGCCGGAGCUUGCUCUGGUGAAUUAGUGGCGAACGGGUGAGUAACACGUGAGUAACCUGCCCUUGACUCUGGGAUAACUGCGGGAAACUGUAGCUAAUACCGGAUACGACCCUCGGAGGCAUCUCCUGGGGGUGGAAAGAAUUUCGGUCAAGGAUGGACUCGCGGCCUAUCAGCUAGUUGGGGAGGUAACGGCUCACCAAGGCGACGACGGGUAGCCGGCCUGAGAGGAUGACGGGCCACGCGGGGAAUGAGACACGGCCCAGACUCCUGCGGGAGGCAGGAGUGGGGAAUAUUGCACAAUGGGCGCAAGCCUGAUGCAGCAACGCCGCGUGAGGGAUGACGGCCUUCGGGUUGUAGACCUCUUUUAGUAGGGAAGAAGCGAAAGUGACGGUACCUGCAGAAAAAGCACCGGCUAACUUCGUGCCAGCCGCCGCAGUAA
rnacentral:rRNA from 1 species